GAAAUGCGAUAAGUAAUGUGAAUUGCAGAUACCGUGAAUCAUCAAAUCUUUGAACGCACAUUGCACUGCCUGGAACUCCGGGCAGUAUACCUGUUUGAGCAUCAGUAGACAUACUCUCCAGCAGAAGCUACUCAAUGUAGCUACGUCGGAGGAGGUGAGUGUUCACGCAGUGAUGCGUGUCGCUUUAAAUGCUACCCACGCAGGAGCGACAGAGUUAAUAGGCUAUCAAGCCUCGGCUGUCGCUCGUUGCACAACAAUAACAACAACGGAUCUCAAAUCAGGUAUGACCACCCGCUGAACUUAA
rnacentral:misc_RNA from 1 species